rnacentral:tRNA from 1 species
GGGGGUGUAGCUCAACUGGUCAGAGCAAUCGGCUUUUAACCGAUAGGUUUAGGGUUCGAGUCCCUGGGCCCCCACCA